UACGAAGGGGGCUAGCGUUGUUCGGAAUAACUGGGCGUAAAGCGCACGUAGGCGGAUUUGAAAGAUUGGGGUGAAAGCCCAGGGCUCAACCUUGGAACUGCCUUCGAAACUCCAGAUCUUGAGGUCGGGAGAGGUGAGUGGAAUUCCUAGUGUAGAGGUGAAAUUCGUAGAUAUUCGGAAGAACACCAGUGGCGAAGGCGGCUCACUGGCUCGAUACUGACGCUGAGGUGAGAAAGCGUGGGGAGCAAACAGG
rnacentral:rRNA from 1 species